UUUCAGAUCAGAACACAGCCUCCCUUUUGUAGAAAAUGAGAGAUUCCUGAUUUUUUGCUACUACUUAGAGACCCACAAAGUAUCCAAUCCUCAUUGCUGUUAUUAAAAGUGAUAAAGAAUAUAUAGUUAAAGGAGAAGGAUCUUGCAAUAAAGAAAGUGAUGCCAAGAACUUAUUAAUGAUGGAACUGUUGGUUGUAUACAGUGAUACUGAGGAACAACAACAACAGCCUGAUCAACAAGGAGAGGCCACAUGCAAACACAAGGAGUUUCUAGAAUCUGAAGAAGUUCCUGAAUCAAUUCCAGUUGACAUGAAACAUCAGAGUAUUGCUCAGAUAAUACAUGCUAGAUGCAGAGAGGAAGACAGGUAAAUGAGAACACAGCUGUAAUUCCUCUGAUGAUGUUUGAUGUGCAGCAGCAUGGUCUCAAGAUUGUCAACACGAACAGACCCCUCAUCAGCUGUAUGGAGGAAUACAAAGAGAGAAAAUAUAUCAAUGUAUGGACAGCUCAAGAGAAACAGAUAUUUAAGGAGAAAUUCCCGCAGCAUCAGAAAUCUUUCAAUCUUACUGCUUCAUUUCUUUAGAAAAAGAUUAUGCAGUGUACUGUUCAAGAUCAAAGAAGAAAACUACAGAAAAUAAGUUGAAAAUAUUGAAAAUAAAAAGAACAGUGGGAAAGAAGAGGCAGUAGCAGAAAGCACAG